UACGUAGGUGGCAAGCGUUGUCCGGAUUUACUGGGCGUAAAGAGCGCGCAGGCGGUCGGAUAAGUCGAAUGUGAAAGCCCCCGGCUCAACUGGGGAGGGUCAUUCGAUACUGUUCGACUCGAAGGCAGGAGAGGGAAGUGGAAUUCCAGGUGUAGCGGUGAAAUGCGUAGAUAUCUGGAGGAACACCGGUGGCGAAGGCGGCAUCCUGGACCGACACUGACGCUGAGGAGCGAAAGCCAGGGGAGCAAACGGG
rnacentral:rRNA from 1 species